rnacentral:lncRNA from 1 species
AUGCUCAGACAGCAAAACUUCUUUUCAGGCUCCCCAAGAAGGCAGGGACCCCGGUUCUCUCAAGAGCUAAUGUUGGAGCCAAUCAGUCUCAAGAGGGAGUCCCAGAAUCAAGAGGAAAUAUGGCCUUGCUCCUUGAUCCUGGGGUCAAGCCAACCUUCCUGGAUCAUACUGGGUAAAGCCAGCUCGAACAGGAUAAAACAGUCCCAAACUGACACACAUCAGAUUCCAAGCAGUUCCUGCUGAUCGAGACCAGAUAAGCCUGCAUCUAACUUGUCCUUACUGGAUCAGACCAACGUGAAUUGAAUCACAGCAGUUCAGAAGGAGGAAACUGGAUUCAGGCAAGUGAUAGUGCUUUAUAUUAGGGGAAAACAGUGUAAAGUGAUUCUUAGUAGAGCAAACAGAUCCUAACGAAAUUAAAACUGUUUAAAGUCACUUUUGUCAAAAAAGGCUGGUUCAAACUGGAUCAAAUCAGCUCUGAUUUCAAUAGCUUUUCCCUUGGUUGGGAAAAACCAUUGAAACUAUUCAACCAGCUUUGAAUAGUUUAAACCAGAUCAACCUGGUAGCAUUGCUAAAUAGCUUCAGAAUAUAUUAUUAACUAUUUAUUGA